GACGAACGCUGGCGGCGUGCUUAACACAUGCAAGUCGAACGGAAAGGCCAGUGCUUGCACUGGUGCUCGAGUGGCGAACGGGUGAGUAACACGUGGGUGAUCUGCCUUGCACUCUGGGAUAAGCUUGGGAAACUGGGUCUAAUACCGGAUAGGAACCGUCUUUAGUGUGGUGGUUGGAAAGUUUUUUCGGUGCAAGAUGAGCUCGCGGCCUAUCAGCUUGCUGGUGGGGUAAUGGCCUACCAAGGCGUCGACGGGUAGCCGGCCUGAGAGGGUGUACGGCCACAUUGGGACUGAGAUACGGCCCAGACUCCUACGGGAGGCAGCAGUGGGGAAUAUUGCACAAUGGGCGGAAGCCUGAUGCAGCGACGCCGCGUGGGGGAUGACGGCCUUCGGGUUGUAAACUCCUUUCGACAGGGACGAAGCGUUAUGUGACGGUACCUGUAUAAGAAGCACCGGCUAACUACGUG
rnacentral:rRNA from 1 species